CUUGUGUGAAGGAGCCUUUCUUAAUCUUAAUAAACCCUUCUCUGGUUCUCAUCACUGGUGAUCUCACAGGUUUCUGAGAAGAGAUGGUACUGGCUUAAAGUUUUUGCUUUGGCUACAAUCAGAGAUUAGGAUGCUCUAGAAAAGUUCUCAAAAGAAAAGAGACCACCCAUUGGUUUUAGGCCAUUCGUUGAAGCAUGCAUUGAAGCAGAUGAGAAGGGAGAGGCCUUAAAAUAUAUCCCCAAACUUGAUGAUCC